UUUGUCGGAAGUAUUGAGAGUUUAUAUUAUGUUCAUUCUAUCUGUUGACAUCCUUAUCCUGUUGUAAAGUUUGAAUAAAUUUGAUGUAAACAAGAUUACUCUGUUCUACUUCUCGGCGAAGGCCGCCAAAGUUGUUACCUUGUGUUGGCAAGUGUUGAUUGUAGCGGUUGCCGGGUGCCCCCGGGACGCUCGCAACAUGGCGGAGAGUAAUCACAUCUAAAAAGUAACAAAACUGGAAAAAAAAGAAACAGCCAAAUUGACAAGUGCAAUGCGUCCGCGUUAGCGCCCCAGCCCCUCCCUCAUCAUGACCACCAGCGGCUUCAUCACCACCUACCGCAAUGACUUCCUGUGGCCCUUCGUCCGAACUGCCCCCCUCAGGCCGGGAUGCCAGGGCGUCCGCUACACCACGGUGCCCUCCCCCGAGCAGGCCCUGGAGCGGGGGCUCUGCCUGGAGGAGUACGAGCGCCUGCUGGAGGCGCGGCGGCGCUGUCAGGCGGAGGCGGAGCAUGCCGUGGAGCUGCACGCCGGCCGAGCUGGCCCGCACACGCCGCCGCUCGCCUCGCUGGGCCACGCCGGCAACGCCCCCGCCCCCCACGGCUACUGCCUGCCGCCCGACCUGCAAGUAGCGCGCAACGACCGCGCGCAGGAGAACCUCAAGAUGCUGCAGGAGAAGCACCCCUACCUGUUCAACAUGAUCCGGUCCUGCCCGCCUGACGACCUGGUGGCCAGAGUGUUCAAGGACAGGUACCGCAGCAUCUACCAGGUGGACUACUGCAAGCAAGGCGAGUACCCCAACAGCGAGUACGACGCGCUGGUGGCCGGCUCGGGGCUGGCGGGCUCCGCUCCCGGGGCGCUGCCCUACUGCCCCUGCAGGUCGGCCAACAGCUCCUCCGACGGCGGCCGCAUGGGCGUCGUGUCCCUCGACCGCAACAGGCAGUUGCAAAUGUGCGAGAUGGCGGCGGAGGAGACGAAGAGCAGCGACGGCGACAUCGAGGUGUGCUUGUGCGGCCUGGUGCCCAAGCGGCCGCAGUUCGCGCGCAAGUGCGCCAUCUCCUGCAAGGCCAAGAGCCGCAGCCGGCCGCGCGAGGGCAUGAUGGGCGAGGGCGGCGACCUGAACCAGUACCGCACCGAGUACCGCGACAGCUACAGCAAGCUGGGGGGCAUCAUCCUGGCCGAGAACAUCCACUGCAACUCGCGGGCCCGGCGACCCGGGACGUGACCUCCAGCGACUCCCUUUCCCCCCACCCCACCCGUCUGGCCAAUAAAGAUGUGAUUACUCAGUGUCGUGACUGCAUUGUGUAUCCACGUUGGAGUUGGGGGCGCCCUUCCCUGCGGGGCACACCACAGUGGUCAGGGCACACGGCACGGG
rnacentral:misc_RNA from 1 species